UUUUAAUUGGACGCAUUGAUUUCUUUAUAUAUUAAAGAUUCAAUGAUGCGUCGUUUGCUAAUAGACGAUGGAUGUCUAAGAUGUGUCCUCACUUCUCCACUGGGGCAAGAGGACAGAGAAUCGAAAAGAAUAGCAGCCAAUUAUAUUACCGAAUAGUGAAACGACAUAGGUUUCACUCAACCAGAAAAAUAACAAAAAAAAAAUCUCUACAAUGAUGCAUCUAGAAAAGAAAACGGUUCGCAACAGUGUGUGUGUGGAGAUGCCUGGGCUCUUGGAAAAUGAGAUGCCUUCUUCUCGCUUUAAGCCUCGGAACGAAAGAGCCACAAUCACGGGAGCGACACGAGAGCCUUUGGCUUAGACGCACUUUUUCCGGAUUCCCGUCCGCUACAUUACAGCUACACAUGUUAUCUGAGCACAUCUCUCUCAGCAAUCGCUGCUAUCCGCACGCUGCUCGGUUGAAUCGAUAAACAAAAUGAAAAAAAGAAGAAGGGAAAGUUCAUUAUCAUAUCAACCGCUGUGUAGCGCUCCAUUUUGACUGGGUGAUGCGCACAUAUCAAUAGAUUCGCAACCACAGCGGAAGAAGCUUCCGUUUGUAAUAGUUCGUCGCUCGCCCAACAUCCUUGAUCGAAGAACGUGAAUAAUAAAAAACGAAAAAGGAAGAAAAUAUCCAAACAAAAAAAAAGUUGAAAAACAAAAACGUAAAUCCCAUCGCGUUUAUUCUUCGCGGAGAGAAAGAGACUUUUGAUGACGACGAGAAUGCAAAUCCAAAAGAAGAAAAAAAGAGGCGAAGAGAAAAGGGUCGCGCGGGAGUUUUAAAAAAGAAAAAAAAAACCGACACCGUAAAUCCCUUUUUUUUUUACCACCGCAGCCGCGACGUCGUUUUCCCUUCCCUUUCUCCGUGUGUGUUGGUGUUGAUGGUAGCACAGAAAGAAGGAAGAGAAGCGAAAAAUCGAUAAAUGAGUUUGAUUGCUCUCCCCACUCUCUCUCUCUCUCCCUUCAUUCUCUCUACGCUCUUGUGUUCAGCCACUCGACUCGCUUCUGCGAUUUGACGCUUGUACACCACCAAACAAAAAAACAAGAAAAUCUUCCGCUUUUAAAUCGGCUAGAUGGAUGGUGUUAUCUUGUGCAUAUAUCCCUCGUUCGUGAAUAUUAACGCAAUGUCGAAAGAAAAAAAAAAAUAACUGACGGACUUCCCUAUACGGCACAAUGGAAAUCAAUGCCCCGUUCAAGUGUAAAAACAACAACACACAACCACUACCAACAAAUAAAAAAGUGUUGAUGCGUUCACCUGGAAACGACAAAGACAAAGUGAAGCCAGACUUUGGCGAAUCGUUUGGCGACGAAAAGACAGAGGGGGGUCCUGCUGUAAUCAAUGAAAAGUCCUUCAUUGCGCUGUACAACCCUAAAAACUUGUCUUUGAAGAAAAGGAAAAUGCGAAGCUUUUUUUUUUUUUUUUUUAUAAAACAUAGAUCGGAUAAAAGAAGCCUCAAAACGCAAGAGAAAAAAAAAAGAUCUCAGUGGAACACUGGUGCAUGGGUUGACAGCGGGAGUUGAUGUUUGCUCCGGCUCUCCCGACCGCACCGCAUCGCCGCCGCCUCUUUUGUUUAAACAUUCUCUCUGUGCGUCCUCGUUUUUAUCCUCGUCUGUCUCUUCUCAGUGUACUAAGGCAACCAAAAAAAAAAAAAAAAAAAGAGCGAAUGAAAAGGGUGGAAGAAAAGAGUAAAAGAGAGAGGGACGGAAGAGACGCCGGCAAGAGAGAGAAAGGGGAGGAAUUGAAUUCAUUCGACAACUUGCGUAGAAGAAGAAGAGACGGGCGAAUAAGCGGCGGUCCCUAUUGACGUCAACGCUCAAGUCGAUUGUCUUUGCGUCUUGCGCCUCCCCAAAAACAUGAAAAAAAUUGCAUUUUUUUUUUUUUUUGCUGCUAUCCUGAAUUAAAAAGCUCAUUAGCUUUUGAACUUGGGAAAUUGAGGAAUGGGAAGAAACGUUCAUCAUUUUUUCUUAAAUCAUUUAAAAACUAAACAAAAAGGAAAGCUUUUCCCCCUUUUUUAUCGAGUCCUUCGGUUAAUAAAAUAAUGCUUGGAAUGGCGACCGACUUAUUGUCAAUAUUACAAUCAAAGUUCCAUUGUUCGUGAAAAAGCGGGCGUGCACUACAAAAAUACUGCUCUCCCCAACGUGCAUUUCUAAAAAAUUCUACUAAAUUAGUUAUAGGCAAUGUACAUCAUCGAACGCAAAAAAAAAAAAGGAGGAAACCCAAUAUAUAACCAAAUCAGGCCUUUUGCAGUAUAAUGAACUUCGCCUCCCACUAGACCUUUAAAACUCAUCCAAAUAAUUAUUGGGUUGUUGUACCUGCCAAUACAGUGAGCGGCCGUAGCCAGCCAUCGGUCGUUGAGGAUGGCCGCACCACAGAGCUGUUGUCCUCGAGGAGAUUCCAGAGAUACGACGAACGGAAGUUGACCCCAAUCCGCCGCUACUCCGCCAACGAUUUUGCCGCCCGCCAGAGGAGUCAACAGCUUGCUCUUUCCGCACGCCACCUUAGUUGCUGAUGGCAUUCGUGAUGACACAAACGUUUUACAGGUAAUCCAUCCACUGAAUUUAAAACAAUCUACCUACCAUUGAGGAACGAUGCUUGACCACCUGAUAACAUGAAAAUGAAAAGCAAAAUGGGAACAAGUGUAAACAUGGUGGUACACAACGUGAAAUGAGCGAUGGAAUGAUGGAAGCAUCCGGUCCUCUAGUAUUUUUAUAGAGAUGGUGCUCGCUUUCUUGCCGUGUAACCACUAUGUGUUAGAGCAUGAAGCGUAUUAGUCGGAGCACCUGGUUGAAGGUAUACACCUGCUUCGUAAUUAUGGUUUAGGAGAAGCGCAGCAGCACGGAUUUGUUUUUUCUCCGUUUGAACCCGUAUCAUGGUGUCAUGUGUGAUGUACAGCUACAGGUGAAUUUCUGUUUGCCUAAAAGCCGCAACUCGUUAAGUAUGGAUUACAAAGAAAAGAGAAAGGAUAGAAGGCGUCGUUGUUUCAAGUUCAAUGUCCCGGUACUUCCGGAUCCACAAACCCAUUGCAAUCGAAUUUGUGUUGGUUGAUUGAUGCAUCGUUGUAUCUAAUUAGUGGAUUUGAAAUUUGGGAAUUUUGAUCAUCUGCUGGUAUACUCUUAAGUCUUCUCGAUUUUUGUAUGCAAACAGCCCCCGUGAAUACCGCGAUGGCGGUACACUUGUUCAAACAUUGAUCAUCCGAACGUUUCACGAAAAGUUAACGCUUUCAUUUGUGAUGAAGAUGACGCAUCCGCGCUGUGACAUUUAGAACAAAAAACGAAAAAAAAGUUUUCAACUGUUGCACUUUUGUUUUUUUACUGGAAAACAAUGAUACGGGUAUAUUUUUGUAAUGGGGUUUCCAAUUGUAUCCGACUUGCGGGGAGUCAAUUUCCAAAAAAUCCAAAAAAAAAAUAGACGCUGAUUUUCAGUCCCACACAACGUGCUCAAAUAAUGUACUAUGUUCUGUAGAAAAACGCAGUCUAUACAAUAGGAAUAAGGUUGCUAGCGAGUUUGGUGUAAUUCAAGCUUUGGCCCCGGUAUUCAAUUUAAAAUGGAACUUCCAGGAAAUCGAGUCGACAUUUGCUAUGUACAUGAUUUUUUGCACACAACAAACUGUUUCGGAUGUAUUGUGUAAUUGUUUCAUUUUUCACUUGACCGGCAAGAGAAAUGAAUUUAAGGUUCUGCCCUCUCCCCUCCCCCGAGUGAAGGAGUCGGGUGGUACGAGUACAGAGUCCGUUCGUUAUUUUCUUUACACACUAAUAUUACAGUGUAGAGCAUAAUUUUCCUAAAUGAUAAAGUGUCUGUUACUUAAAGGAUAUGACGCGUAGAAUGUUGGCACAUACCCUAAGUCUGAAUAUUAACAAAUAAAACUAAAGGUCAUUUUUCGGAUUGAAAAAAAAAAAAACCAUCUUCUUAUCUUUUCAGGUAUUAUUUCUAUUUCUUCCAAUCAACAAAUGUAACCGCACACGUAAUUUAUUAUUGCCGAGACGCAGUUUUACCAACAUACUGAACAAGGAAGCCCACAUAUAAUAUACAGGAUAGAUAGGUUCAGAUGAUAAUCGAUUUAGGUAUAUUUUUUUUCAUAUUGUUUGGAGCUUAUGUUGCCUGACCCUCUUGCAAAAGGUAUCUAGAUAAUUCGAUAAGGUAUUAUGACAUUGUCGUGUAUUUACUGGGUCGGCAACUGGAUGUAUAUUGCAUAGCUUUUUGAAGUCGUAUACGUAAAGUACAUUUAUUUUUCCUUU